CCCUAGGAUGGGCGGGGCCAUCCGCAAAGUUUAAGCAUAUCAAUAAGCAAAAGAGAAGAAACUUACCAUGAUUGCUUAGUGACGAUGGGCGAACUGGGAUUGGGCCAGCAAGGGAAUCGAGCUACCGUGCGGUAGCUCGAUUUGUAGUCUAGAGAAGCGUCCUCAGCGAUGGACCGGGCCCAAAUCCCCUGAAAGGGGGCGCCAGGGAGGGUGAUAACCCCGCUCAGCUCGAACCCUACCGCAACACGAGGCACUGUCGGUGAGUCAGGUUGUUUGGGAAUGCAGCCCUAAUCGGGCGAUAAAUUCUAUCCAAGGAUAAAAAUGGGAGAUAGACCGAAAGCGAACAAGCACCACAAUGGAAAGAUGAAAAGGACUUUAAAAAGAGAAUCAAAUUGUGCUUGAAAUUUUCGGGAGGGAAGCGGACGGGGGCUGGCGGUGCACCUCAGCUCGAAGCGAUACGGAUGCAUCCGAUUCGUGGCUCGGCUUAAGGUGUCGACCGUUGGAAGCCAGUGAGGCGGCCAGCGCCUGGGAAAUUAUUGCUUGAGGAGACAUCAUUGUGGCAGCCUCAAAAAACAAUGAGCACCAAAUCAGCGUGCCCCCCUGGGGCUCCAGUGCGCUCGUUGCAACAGCCCGUGGGCUCCCCCCGUUCGACCCAUCUUGAAAUACGAACCAAGGAUCCUGACAUGCUUGCGAGCCGAUGGGUGUCGAAGCCCGGUGGGCCCAAGGAAGGUGAUGUGCGGGAUCCUUUAGGCAAGUGCACUGUCGACUAACCUUGAACUUUGUAUGAUGGGUUCGAGUGAGAGCAUGCAUGUUUGGACCCGAAAGAUAGUGAACUAUGCCUGAGCAGGUCGAAGCCAGAGGAAACUCUGGUGGAGGCUUGCAGCGAUAUUGGCAUGAAAAUUGUUCAUCUGACUUGGGUAUACGGGCGAAAGACUAAUGAAACUAUCUAGUAGAUGGUUCCCUUUGAAGUUUCCUCAGGUUGGCUGGAGCCCUAGACCGAGUUGUAUUGGAUAAAGCCAAUGAUUUGAAGCAUCAAAGGCACAACACGCUCGAUCUAUUCUCAAACUUUAAAUAGGUAGGAUGGCCCGACUACUUCAUUGAGUCGGGCCACUCAAUCAAAGGAUCCAAGUGGGUCAUUUUUGGUAAGCAGAACUGGCGAUACGGGAUGAACUAGAAUCUGGUUUAUGGUGCCACACUGUGCGCUAACCUAGAACCUUCAAAGGGUGUUGGUUGAUUAAGACAGCAGGACAGUGAUCAUGGAAGUCAAAAUUUGCUAAGGAGUGUAUAACAACUCACCUGCCGAAUCAACUAGCCCCAAAAAUGGACAACGCUAAAGCACGCGACCCACACCCAGCCAUCGGGGCAAUUGCCAAGCUCGAAUGGUAGGAGGGUGCAGCAGCAACCGCAAAACUCGGGGACCGAUCCCGUGCGGAGCGGCCACUGGUGCUGAUCUUGGUGGUAGUAGCAAAUAUUCAAAUGAGAGUUUUGAAGGCCAAAAGGGGAAAAGUUCUAUAUAAACAGUGCUUGCAGAUGAGUUAGCCGAUCCUAAAAGGUGGGGGAGGCCUAUAAAAUAGCACCGCUUUGCACGAUCUUCGUAAUGGAGUUGGGUUAAAAUUCUCAAGCUGGAUGUGGCGGCGGAUGGCAAUAUUAGGUAAUCCUGAGACACCGGCGGGGGCCUUGAAAAUAGUAAUAUUUUCUGCUUAACAGUCUGCCUAUCCUGGAAGAGCGUCGCACGUUGAACGGCGUCCGGUGCGCCCUGGCGGCCCUUAAAAUUCGGAGGGCCGAGUGCUAUCCACGCCCGGUCGUACUCAUAACCGCAUCAGGUCUCCAAGGUGAACAGCCUCUUGUCGAUGGAGCAAUGUAAGCAAGGGAAGUCAGUAAAAUGGAUUUGUAACUUCGAGAAAUGGAUUAGCUUUGAGGGUUGGGUCGGGGUCCCAGUCCCGAAUCCAUCGGCUAUCGGCGGACAGCUUGAGCUGUGUUCGCAGUGAGAGCGGUUGUCGUGUGCUGGCUAGGGACAAAUUGGGAAUGGCCCCAUGAGGCCUUCCAUGGGUGUGAAACAACUGACUCAAAAUUGGUACGAUCAAGGCAAAUCCAACUGUUUAAUUAAAACAAAACAUCACAAUGGUCCCAGUGGAUGUUCAUGCAAUGUGAUUUCUGCCUAGUGCUCUGAAUGUCCAAGUGAAGAAAUUUAACCAAGUGUGGGUAAAUGGCAGGAGUUAAUAUGACUCUCUUAAGGUAUCCAAAUGCCUCAUCAUCUGAUUAGUGAUGCGCAGGAAUGGAUUAACAAGAUUCCCACUGUUCCUGUAUACUAUCCAGUGAAACUACCACUAAGGGAACGGGCUUGGCAGAAUCAGUGAGGUAAGAAGACCCUGUUGAGCUUGACUCUAGUUCAAUUUUAUGAAAUGACUUGAGAGGUGUAGGAUAAGUGGGAGCCGGCACGCCGGCGGAAGUGAAAUACCACUACUUUUAACAUUAUCUUACUUAUUCCGUGAGACAGAGGCGGGGUCUGGCCCCUCCUUUUGGCUUUCAAGUCCCACUCUGGUGGGUCAAUUUGAGUGGAAGACAUUGUCAGGUGGGGAGUUUGGCUAGGGCAGAACAUUUGUUAAAAGAUAACGCAGGUGUCCUAAGAUGAGCUCAACGAGAAAAAAAAUCUCAUGCGGAACAAAAGGGUCACCGCUUGUUUGAUUGUAGUUUCUAUUAGGAAUACAAUUUGUGAAAGCGUGUCCUAUCGAUCCCUUAGUUAUUUAGAGUUUAAAGCUAGAGGUGUUAGAAAAAUUAGCACAUGGAUAACUAGCUUGUGGCAGCCAAUCAUUUAUAGCGACGUUACUUUUUGAUCCUUCGAUGUCGGCUCUUCCUAUCGUUGUAAAGCCAAAUUCACCUAGUGUCGGAUUGUUCACCAACCAAUAGGGAAUGUGAGCUGGGCUUAGGUCCUUGUGAGACAGGUUAGUUUUACCCUACUGAAGAAUGUACCGUGAUAGUAAUUCAACCCAGUAUGAGAGGAACCAUUGAUUCACACAAUUGGUCAUCACGCUUUGUUGAAAAACUAGUGGCGCAAAGCUACCGUGUGCAUGAUUAUGACUAAAUGACUCUAAGUCAGAAUUUGCGCUAAUGUUGCAGCGCCUAAGUCUGUUGAUCACCCUCCGACUGACAGUAGGGGCAUCGUCCCCAAUGGCAUGUGAGCCAGGCGGCGCCCGCGCCGCUCCCCUCAUAAAAAUCGGUGUGGUGGCCCUGAAUUGCAGUUCUGAAUGAUGGACUGGCAGAAUCCCUUGU
rnacentral:rRNA from 1 species